rnacentral:tRNA from 1 species
UGGGGUAUAGCCAAGUGGUAAGGCACCGGUUUUUGGUAUCGGCAUUCGCAGGUUCGAAUCCUGCCGCCCCAG